rnacentral:rRNA from 1 species
AUACGUAGGGUGCAAGCGUUAAUCGGAAUUACUGGGCGUAAAGCGUGCGCAGGCGGAUUUGUAAGACAGUGGUGAAAUCCCCGGGCCCAACCUGGGAACUGCCAUUGUGACUGCAAGGCUGGCGGGCGGCAGAGGGGGAUGGAAUUCCCCGUGUAGCAGUGAAAUGCGUAGAUAUGCGGAGGAACACCGAUGGCGAAGGCAAUCCCCUGGGCCUGCACUGACGCUCAUGCACGAAAGCGUGGGGAGCAAACAGGAUUAGAUACCCUGGUAGUCCACGCCCUAAACGAUGUCAACUGGUUGUUGGGGAUUUAUUUUCUCAGUAACGAAGCUAACGCGUGAAGUUGACCGCCUGGGGAGUACGGCCGCAAGGUUAAAACUCAAAUGAAUUGGCGGGG